UGGUCAAGUGAAUAAGAGCAUAAGGCGGAUGCCUUGGCACUGGGAGCCGACGAAGGACGUGACAAGCUGCGAUAAGCUACGGGGAGGAGCACAUAUCCGUCAAUCCGUAGAUUUCCGAAUGGGGGAACCCACCUAUAGUAAUGUGUAGGUA
rnacentral:rRNA from 1 species